AACGAACGCUGGCGGCAGGCCUAACACAUGCAAGUCGAACGAGAUCUUCGGAUCUAGUGGCGGACGGGUGAGUAACGCGUGGGUAACCUGCCCCAUACAAAGGGAUAGCCACUGGAAACGGUGAUUAAUACCAUAUGAGAUCGUAGAGUCGCAUGACUUAGCGGUUAAAGAUUUAUCGGUAUGGGAUGGACCCGCGUCUGAUUAGCUAGUUGGUAAGGUAACGGCUUACCAAGGCGACGAUCAGUAGCCGACCUGAGAGGGUGAUCGGCCACACUGGAACUGAGACACGGUCCAGACUCCUACGGGAGGCAGCAGUGGGGAAUAUUGCACAAUGGGCGCAAGCCUGAUGCAGCAACGCCGCGUGGGCGAUGAAGGCCUUCGGGUCGUAAAGCUCUGUCCUAAGGAAGAAUAAUGACGGUACUAGGAGGAAG
rnacentral:rRNA from 1 species